ACUCACUCUCCUGCUCUGCCCUGGUAAGACGCCCCAGUAAGACGAUGCUUGCUUCCCCUUCGCCUUCUGCCAUGAUUUUAAGUUUCCUGAAGCCUCUCAGCCAUGCUUCCAGUUAAGCCUGCGGAACUGAGCUGGACAGAAGUUUGUAUUACAGGCUCGUAGCACCGGAGGUUUCUGAUGGAGCAGACAACUUGAGGAAGGCCGGCCUUGCUGAACACAGUGGACUGACCGGGUCUGGACCCCUCCCCCACAGGUGACUGUGCACUGCAGCAGAGAGAAGAGGAAGGAGUCAGAAACACUCUACUGAGGACACACCAGGGUCUGUGAGUCAUGCGAAGGGGUUGCUAAGGCAGGGCAAGGCGAGAAUUUCACAACUGGCUUCCUCUGCAUCCUCCUCUUGGCUGGAUUUAGAUUCUAGGGUCUCAAAUGUCAUCAAGGGAAUAAAGUAGCAAAGCCUAUUGUAAACUGAAUUUGCAUAGCUCUUGCGUAUGAGAUUCAGACGGAUUUUAAAUACCUUAAAAUCUGGAUAGAAACAUAUACGAUUGGAGCAACAGCAGGAAGAACAGCUAGGAUGCCAUCCCUGUUGCCAUGAAUGAGGGCAUCUCCACUCACGCCUGUGGGUGUGCAGGUGCAGGGCAAAAAUACAUGACAAGAUGCCAGCGUGAUGAGAGAUUUGCAUCUAUAUACAAAUUCCAUGAUAUCUGUGAAGAUCCUGUUUCCAGCACAAGCACGCCUCUCCGUGACAGGUGCAUGCUCCUCUUUAUUGGUGGUGUCAACCAAGGCUCAACAUUUCUUCACAAGGCACAUUCUGGAUAUUGCAAUUAUUUGGCUACUCCCAAGAGGCAGCUUAUCAAAGAAAACUUGGAUCCAAGUGCCCUGCUCAGUUAACAAAUGAUAUACUACUAUACUACACUUUAGGUAUUUUUAGGAACUGAUUUGCAUAUUCAUUCCAAGGCUUUUUUCAUGCAUUUUAAACACACACUCAACCGCCUACUUGACAGCUACUCUUGAAUAUCUAAGGUACAUUGCAAAUAUAUGGUGGCUAAAAUGGAAUUUUUCCCCAUCCCUAAACCUGUUUCCAGUCAUCCUCAAGACAAUGAUAGUGGUAAAACCAUCCUCCAGAUGCUCAGGGAAGAAACCUGAGACUCUCUCACAUCUUUCUCCCUCAGAGUUCAUUUCUUAUACAUGUCUAGUAACUUUUCUAGCUUCCAGUUCUCUACCAUAAUACACUGCAAACAGAUCCACUUCCUGCCACCUUCACAGUCACCAUCUGUUUCAGCGUCUAUUACUCCUUACCUGGAAUUCAAGAACCAUUUUCCUAUUUCCCCAGUUUACUUCUUGCCUCUCCAAUCACUUAUUUACAUAGCAGCCUGGUUGAAUUUUUUUUUUUUUUGAGACAGAGUCUCGCUGUGAUGCCAGGCUGGAGUGCAGUAGUGCAAUCUCGGCUCACUGCAACCUCUGCCUCCUGGGUUCAAGUGCUUCUUCUGCCUCAGCCUGUUGAGUAGCUGGGACUAUAGGCAUGCGCCACCAUACCCAGCUAAUUUUUGUAUUUUUCAGUAGAGAUGAGGUUUCACCAUAUUGGCCAGGAUGGUGUAAACCACCCUCUUCCUUGACAUCCUGAUGUUGUUAAUGGGAUGAAAUCCAAACUCCUUACCAUGGUUUGUAUUAUGUGUGGGCCACCCCCUGACUAUACCCAUCUCACACCUCAAUACUUUCUUUUCUGACUACACUAUAGCUAGAUUCUCCUAUUUUUUAGUUCUUAUAAAAUAUUAAGUUGAUUCUCCACAUCAGGUUUUAUUUAUUUAUUUGGAGAGAGUCUCACUCUGCCACCCAGGCUGGAGUGCAGUGGUGCGAUCUCGGCUUAUUGCAGCCUCUGCCUCCCAAGCUCAAAUGAUUCUCCUGCCUCAUCCUCCCAAGUAGCUGGGACUACAGGCAUGCACCACCACGCCUGGCUAAUUUUUGUUUUAGUAGAAACAGGACUUCACCAUGUAGGCCAGUCUGGUCUCAUACUCCUGGUCUCAAGCAAUCCACCUACCUCAGCAUCCCAAAGUGCUGGGAUUACAGGGGUGAGCCACCAUACCCAGCCCACAUGGAGUUUUAAAUUGUUGCUUCCUCCGCGUGAAUUUCCUCUGCUCUUUACCUGGUUGGGUCUUCUCAUCCUUCAAGUUUCACCUCACAUGGUAAUUCUCAGAUAAUUCCUCACCAACUCUCUAAUUCAAAAAGUCUGUUUUUUUAUCUCAUACUUUAUUUUCUCUCAAAGAACCUACCACAAUCUGUACAUCUGCCUUCAUUUAUAUAUUCAUUUGUGUAGUGCUGUACUGUACCCUCCAACACUCUAAGUUUCAUUAUAGCAGGAGGAUUUUCUUUUCUGUUUAUCCACUACUCUAUACCCAGUUUACUGUCAAUGUGAAACUCAAGAGCAGCUCAGUGCAUGUGACACAGAGGAACGCAGUGAUUUCUUUUGUUUGAGAUGGAGUCUCACUCACUCUUUUGCCCAGGCUAGAGUGCAGUGAUGCAAUCUCGGCUCACUGCAACCUGUGCCUCCCAGGUUCAAGUGAUUCUCCUGCCUCAGCCUCCCGACUAGCUGGGAUUACAGGCAUGCGCCACCACACCCAGCUAAUUUUUGUAUUUUUAGUAGAGAUGGGGUUCCGCCACGUUGGCCCAGCUGGUCUCGAACUCCUGGCCUCAAGUGAUCCACCUGCCUCGGGUGAUUUCCUAAUGUGUGGACAUUUUCACUAUUCUGCUUUCUGAAGUUCUAGCAAAUCUAAGAAUCCAUGAGGGAAAUUUCAAGAUGUCAUCUAAUUUCACCCACCAUAACUCAACACACAGAACACAAACUCCCACACACUGGGUAAGAGAAAUUCAUUUCUAUUGCUUUCCCCAUGAACCACUGUGAGCUGCAGAAGGUCAUUACCAAUAUCAUGGUAGCACGGUAUUUGUUCAAAGAAUUAUCCAGGCCCGCUGUGCAUGGAACUGAGAAAGAUGAUAAAUUGAGUGCUUCAGUUUAGACAGAAGAAGUAGCUACCUCUGAAAAAUUGCCUUAUUCAUCACUAAUCUGACCAAAAUACCCUGAGAUGAUUGAGGACACAGCAUGCUGUCAGCCCAGAAAACAAGCACUAUGUCGCUUUCCUCAGCACCAAGAACACAAAUUUCUUUAAGGGCGAUAACAGGACUGAUUUCAUAAACACUAUGUUUGAAUGAAAGAUGUAAUGUGAUAAAGGCCAAGGAAUAUCCACGAAGCCAAACCAAAAGCAAAGAACAGAAGAGGAAGUAAAAGGAGGGACAACAGAGUCAUGGAGAAAGAACCACAGGUAGGAAGCAUGGGACCUCAAGAGUAUACAACCAACAGAAAGGAAAUCUUCCAAGUCUGGAAUAGGAAGCAACUGCAGCAUCCGCUGGGACCUGCUGUGCAGCAUGCUUCCUACGAAAUCACUCAGCUCCUGGUAGAAUGCCUCUAGUGAUGGGGACCUUGUUACUUACAGAGGGAGUAUAUUUUCAUUUUGGACAGUUAAUAUUUAUUUACUUAUUCAUUCAUUUCAAAAGUUAUAACCAUUACAUAAAUAUAUACCAAGUGCUGUUCUUGGAUGCUGGAGAUAUAAGCAAGCUCAAGAUAGACAAAGGCUUAGUCCUUGUGGAACCUAAAUUCUUGUGGGGAGGAAGAUAACAGAUAAAUGACCACAUAAAAAUACAUCCAUGCACUGAGAAGAGCUAUGAAGAAUAAAACGGGGUAAAGGGUUCAGAAAACAAUAUGAAGGAAGAAUAUGUUGACAGGCUGUUAAGGAAGGUCUCUCUGAGGAGACAAUAUGGCUAGAAUGUUCUCAGCCCUUGAAUUAAUUCUGUUAUCUAAAGCAAUUUGAAAUAAAUUGAACAUCCUUCCUAUUCAAUAGCUCUUUGAAGUUUUGAAUGUAAGUCGUUUCUCAUGUACAGUAAACCUCUAUAGGUACCUCAUUACUUCCUCCUAAGACACAGCUUUGGAAUUGUCAUGUCUGUCUCUAUCUAUACUUCCUGGCAAACAGUCAUGACCCAAAACCACAUCAGUGCUCCUGAAAUGGCUAGGCUGAUACUGAGCAAAGCUGCACAAUCCUCUCUUUCGAUUUGGAGGCUCUACUUGUUAUAGUGAUGCCUGUAAUUAUAUUAGCUUCCUUUAUGAUCACUGAUUAAUAUAGGUUCAUGUUGCGCUUUUGCACAGAACAGCCCAUGGAUUGUCAUUAAACUUAGUCUCUUUCCAUUCUACACAUGGGCAGUUGGGAUUCACAUAUAACCCUGUUUCAAGACAGCGUAACAGUUUUGAUAAAUCUAAUGGAUGGAAGUAAUGAAACAACUA
rnacentral:lncRNA from 10 species